rnacentral:rRNA from 1 species
AUACGUAGGUGGCAAGCGUUAUCCGGAUUUACUGGGUGUAAAGGGCGUGUAGGCGGGUUUGCAAGUUGGAUGUGAAAUCCUCAGGCUUAACCUGAGAGGGUCAUCCAAAACUGCAGAUCUUGAGUACUGGAGAGGAUAGUGGAAUUCCUAGUGUAGCGGUAAAAUGCGUAGAUAUUAGGAGGAACACCAGUGGCGAAGGCGACUAUCUGGACAGUAACUGACGCUGAGGCGCGAAAGUGUGGGGAGCAAACAGGAUUAGAUACCCUGGUAGUCCACACUGUAAACGAUGAAUGCUAGGUGUAGGAGGUAUCGACCCCUUCUGUGCCGCAGUAAACACAGUAAGCAUUCCGCCUGGGGAGUACGGUCGCAAGAUUAAAACUCAAAGGAAUUGACGGGG